GGGGCCGACUGGUUUCGACAUGGUAUGUCUGCACUGAGGAGCAGGUCGUGGUCUCCUCGCCACGUUAAACAGGGGUACUGCCUUGUAAUUGGCAAAAACAACUUCAAGGCUGUGAGCUAUGCUCCGGCCGCCAUGGCUGCUUAAUUUCAGCCAUCCGUCAACCUCAGGUAUUUCCCCGCCCUGGGCGCGACGUCAUUUCAGGGGAACGCUCUCUGGCGAGUUUUCGGUGCAGCCAGGGCUAAGACCAACCGAAUAGGGCGCGUCCCGUCCGUCGACGAACUGUGGCGCGUCCGAAUCCCGAUCGCCGACUAAGCUUGUAGAGCCUCAGGAACGAUAUAGUAUGGACCGGAGUUCGAUUCUCCGCGGCUCCACCA
rnacentral:tmRNA from 3 species